rnacentral:rRNA from 1 species
GAUGAACGCUGGCGGCGUGCCUAAUACAUGCAAGUCGAGCGAACAGACGAGGAGCUUGCUCCUCUGACGUUAGCGGCGGACGGGUGAGUAACACGUGGAUAACCUACCUAUAAGACUGGGAUAACUUCGGGAAACCGGAGCUAAUACCGGAUAAUAUAUUGAACCGCAUGGUUCAAUAGUGAAAGACGGUUUUGCUGUCACUUAUAGAUGGAUCCGCGCCGCAUUAGCUAGUUGGUAAGGUAACGGCUUACCAAGGCAACGAUGCGUAGCCGACCUGAGAGGGUGAUCGGCCACACUGGAACUGAGACACGGUCCAGACUCCUACGGGAGGCAGCAGUAGGGAAUCUUCCGCAAUGGGCGAAAGCCUGACGGAGCAACGCCGCGUGAGUGAUGAAGGUCUUCGGAUCGUAAAACUCUGUUAUUAGGGAAGAACAAAUGUGUAAGUAGCUAUGCACGUCUUGACGGUACCUAAGCAGAAAACCACGGCUAACUACGU